UACGGAGGGUGCAAGCGUUAUCCGGAUUCACUGGGUUUAAAGGGAGCGUAGGUGGGCUGGUAAGUCAGUGGUGAAAUCUCCGGGCUUAACUCGGAAACUGCCGUUGAUACUAUCAGUCUUGAAUACUGUGGAGGUCAGCGGAAUAUGUCAUGUAGCGGUGAAAUGCUUAGAUAUGACAUAGAACACCAAUUGCGAAGGCAGCUGGCUACACAAAUAUUGACACUCAGGCACGAAAGCGUGGGGAUCAAACAGG
rnacentral:rRNA from 1 species